rnacentral:rRNA from 1 species
AGAGUUUGAUCAUGGCUCAGAAUGAACGCUGGCGGCAGGCCUAAAACAUGCAAGUCGAGCGCUUGUAGCAAUACAGGAGCGGCGCACGGGUGAGUAACACGUGGGAAUAUGCCUUUUGGUACGGAACAACGUUUGGAAACGAACGCUAAUACCGUAUGGUCCCUUCGGGGUAAAGAUUUAUCGCCAAAAGAGUAGCCCGCGUUGGAUUAGCUAGUUGGUAAGGUAAUGGCUUACCAAGGCGACGAUCCAUAGCUGGUCUGAGAGGACGAUCAGCCACACUGGGACUGAGACACGGCCCAGACUCCUACGGGAGGCAGCAGUUAGGAAUAUUGGACAAUGGGCGCAAGCCUGAUCCAGCCAUGCCGCGUGAGUGAUGAAGGCCUUCGGGUUGUAAAGCUCUUUAGUCCACGAAUAUAAUGACUGUAGUGGAAGAAUAAGCCCCGGCUAACUUCGUGCCAGCAGCCGCGGUAAUACGAAGGGGGCGAGCGUUAUUCGGAAUCACUGGGCGUAAAGCGUGCGUAGGCGGUUGUGAAAGUUAGGAGUGAAAGCCCCAGGCUCAACUUGGGAAUUGCUCUUAAUACUACACGACUUGAAUUCGGGAGAGGAUAGCGGAAUUGUCAGUGUAGCAGUGAAAUGCGUAGAUAUUGACAGGAACACCAGUGGCGUAAGCGGCUAUCUGGACCGACAUUGACGCUGAGGCACGAAAGCGUGGGGAUCAAACAGGAUUAGAUACCCUAGUAGUCC